rnacentral:rRNA from 1 species
AUGACAGAUUUCCAAGAACUCUCUAUCCAAUCUGAAUGGUUAAACCAAGCCCACCUAAUUCUGCUGCCAAAAAACGAAGAAGCAAGUACACUGGACUCCUACCGCCUGAUACCUCUCCAAAAUUGCCCCGUCAAAGCCGUCGCAAAGGUCCUCACCAACAGACUAAAACCGCUAAUCCCUUUGCUUGUUCACGGAAACCAGACUGGUUUCAUCUCAGGCCGUUGCAUCGCGGAAAAUUUUGUCUAUGCUGCGGAUCUUAUCGGCUCCUGCCAUUCUCGCAAAGCCCCAACCAUGGUCAUAAAACUAGACUUCAGCAAAGCCUUCGACACUCUCUCUUGGGAAUCUCUCACCGCCAUCCUUCACUGCCGCGGCUUCCCGCCAAAAUUCUCGGCCUAGAUCCAGGAUGUCCUCUCAACAGGAAAACCGGCUGUCAUGUUGAACGGGAUCGCAGGAAACUGGAUAAACUGCAAGAACGGCCUCAGACAAGGAGACCCCAUAUCACCCUACCUAUUCAUCAUCGUUGCUGACCUCCUUCAACAAAUGAUCACACAAGACUGCGACCUCCGGCACCUCACACACCCCUUGUUCUCACACCUGCCACCGAUCGUUCUUCAAUGUGCCGAUGACACCCUCAUCAUCGCCCAGUCAUCCAAUGAUGCAGUGAUGCAACUAAAACACAUUCUUCAAAAAAAUUCCAUGGCUACAGGCCUCACGAUAAACUACACAAAAACUACAUUCGUGCCUAUGCAUGUCUGCCCUUUUAUGACAGACUCCAUUGCCACCACCAUGCAGUGUACAACCUCAACCUUUCCACAAAUCUACCUAGGCCUACCCCUAGUACCUACCCGUUUACCUCCAAACGCCUUUCUACCCAUUAUCGAACGAUGCCGAAUUUUUUUGACAGGUUGGCGAGCUAAAAUCCUCUCCAAGGGUGAUAGGCUCAUCCUACUGUCUGUUGUCCUCGACUCCAUCCUAGUCUACUUUAUGUCAGUCUUCCUCAUUACCAAAAGCGUGCUAAAAACCCUAGACUCUAUCCGUCGAGCCUUCUUCUAG